AGGAUUAAGUACUUCAUUGUCUCUAUUCAUGACAAUAACUAACGCGUAUUUGGAAGUUGUAAAGACAAAAUUGUUCGUUUGAUCAUUUCAAGUUCCGCUUACAUGAUACAUGAUUGAGUGAAAUUCUACAUGAUCCAACUGUUUCUAAGACAUUUUUUACUGUAUUUUUUGUAGGUCGGCAUACACCCUUCGGCUACGAAGAGUCUGGGACAAUGCUGUCCAUCAAGAGACGAAUUGCUGUUGGUAAACCAAAGACAUGUUGGAAUUUGGUUUAAAGAUUAAAAAAAUUGGUUAAGUAUGAACAUGAAUGCGAUUUUGUGUCAAUUUUGACCAAAUAUUUGGACUAGAUUCGGUAGUCAAAAUAUAAAAAUAAAUAGACUAACUUGUUCUAUCAUCAAGUAGAUCGUUGUAGUAUAUUUGAAAUUUUAAAAACAAUUCCAGAUGAAUGAGAAAUUGUGGUCUAAAAUUGGAAGGAAAAAUGAGGAGAAAAGAGGAAAAAUCAUAUAGCAUUAGCCAAGCGAGCGGCAAAGCUAUCACUCGAGGGGUAGGCUAGCGACAUCCGG
rnacentral:lncRNA from 1 species